UACGGAGGGGGCUAGCGUUGUUCGGAAUUACUGGGCGUAAAGCGCACGUAGGCGGCUUUGCAAGUUAGAGGUGAAAGCCCAGGGCUCAACUCCGGAAUUGCCUUUAAAACUGCAUCGCUAGAAUUGUGGAGAGGUAAGUGGAAUUCCGAGUGUAGAGGUGAAAUUCGUAGAUAUUCGGAAGAACACCGGUGGCGAAGGCGACUUACUGGACACAUACUGACGCUGAGGUGCGAAAGCGUGGGGAGCAAACAGG
rnacentral:rRNA from 1 species